rnacentral:rRNA from 1 species
AUGGAUAUGCUGAAGAGAACAGUGGAAAAAUUGACACCCAUAGCCGCUGUGCAGGAUGGAAUGGGGGUGGAAGACAGAAUUCAGACAAACAGGGGGAAAGAGAAAGAAGUGCUCCCAGCACGGGCAACCGGCAAUGCUUGUGGAAGCGAUGCUGAAGGUAGUGCAAUUGGUAGUUUCGUAGGUCUGAAAGCUCCAGAACGGAAACGAAAGUCUGGUCGACCAACCACAAGCAGGGAUAAGCCUCCAUAUGAUGAUCACGAUCUGCUUUACUGUGGUCUAUUUCGACCUGCAGAAAUGAUCAUGUCCUUUGAACACAGAAGGACUAUUGAUCCUUUUGUGAUUCUUCAUAAGGCUUGUCGGCUCAUUGAUUCUUAA